rnacentral:rRNA from 1 species
GAUGAACGCUGGCGGCGUGCCUAAUACAUGCAAGUCGAACGAGUUCUCGUUGAAUCUCGGUGCUUGCACCGAGAUUCAACAUGGAACGAGUGGCGGACGGGUGAGUAACACGUGGGUAACCUGCCCUUAAGUGGGGGAUAACAUUUGGAAACAGAUGCUAAUACCGCAUAGAUCCAAGAACCGCAUGGUUCUUGGCUGAAAGAUGGCGUAAGCUAUCGCUUUUGGAUGGACCCGCGGCGUAUUAGCUAGUUGGUGAGGUAAUGGCUCACCAAGGCGAUGAUACGUAGCCGAACUGAGAGGUUGAUCGGCCACAUUGGGACUGAGACACGGCCCAAACUCCUACGGGAGGCAGCAGUAGGGAAUCUUCCACAAUGGACGCAAGUCUGAUGGAGCAACGCCGCGUGAGUGAAGAAGGCUUUCGGGUCGUAAAACUCUGUUGUUGGAGAAGAAUGGUCGGCAGAGUAACUGUUGUCGGCGUGACGGUAUCCAACCAGAAAGCCACGGCUAACUACGUGCCAGCAGCCGCGGUAAUACGUAGGUGGCAAGCGUUAUCCGGAUUUAUUGGGCGUAAAGCGAGCGCAGGCGGUUUUUUAAGUCUGAUGUGAAAGCCCUCGGCUUAACCGAGGAAGCGCAUCGGAAACUGGGAAACUUGAGUGCAGAAGAGGACAGUGGAACUCCAUGUGUAGCGGUGAAAUGCGUAGAUAUAUGGAAGAACACCAGUGGCGAAGGCGGCUGUCUGGUCUGUAACUGACGCUGAGGCUCGAAAGCAUGGGUAGCGAACAGGAUUAGAUACCCUGGUAGUCCAUGCCGUAAACGAUGAAUGCUAGGUGUUGGAGGGUUUCCGCUCUUCAGUGCCGCAGCUAACGCAUUAAGCAUUCCGCCUGGGGAGUACGACCGCAAGGUUGAAACUCAAGGGAAUUGACGGGGGCCCGCACAAGCGGUGGAGCAUGUGGUUUAAUUCGAAGCAACGCGAAGAACCUUACCAGGCCUUGACAUCUUUUGAUCACCUGAGAGAUCAGGUUUCCCCUUCGGGGGCAAAAUGACAGGUGGUGCAUGGUUGUCGUCAGCUCGUGUCGUGAGAUGUUGGGUUAAGUCCCGCAACGAGCGCAACCCUUAUGGCUAGUUGCCAGCAUUUAGUUGGGCACUCUAGUAAGACUGCCGGUGACAAACCGGAGGAAGGUGGGGAUGACGUCAAAUCAUCAUGCCCCUUAUGACCUGGGCUACAUACGUGCUACAAUGGAUGGUACAACGAGUUGCGAGACCGCGAGGUCAAGCUAAUCUCUUAAAGCCAUUCUCAGUUCGGACUGUAGGCUGCAACUCGCCUACACGAAGUCGGAAUCGCUAGUAAUCGCGGAUCAGCACGCCGCGGUGAAUACGUUCCCGGGCCUUGUACACACCGCCCGUCACACCAUGAGAGUUUGUAACACCCGAAGCCGGUGGCGUAACCCUUUUAGGGAGCGAGCCGUCUAAGGUGGGACAAAUGAUUAGGGUG